rnacentral:rRNA from 1 species
UGGGGAAUUUUGGACAAUGGGCGCAAGCCUGAUCCAGCCAUGCCGCGUGCGGGAAGAAGGCCUUCGGGUUGUAAACCGCUUUUGUCAGGGAAGAAAUCUUCUGAGUUAAUACCUCGGGAGGAUGACGGUACCUGAAGAAUAAGCACCGGCUAACUACGUGCCAGCAGCCGCGGUAAUACGUAGGGUGCAAGCGUUAAUCGGAAUUACUGGGCGUAAAGCGUGCGCAGGCGGUUUUGUAAGACAGAGGUGAAAUCCCCGGGCUCAACCUGGGAACUGCCUUUGUGACUGCAAGGCUUGAGUGCGGCAGAGGGGGGAUGGAAUUCCGCGUGUAGCAGUGAAAUGCGUAGAUAUGCGGAGGAACACCGAUGGCGAAGGCAAUCCCCUGGGCCUGCACUGACGCUCAUGCACGAAAGCGUGGGGAGCAAACAGGAUUAGAUACCCUGGUAGUCCACGCCCUAAAACGAUGUCAACUGGUUGUUGGGAAGGUUCCUUCUCAGUAACGUAGCUAACGCGUGAAGUUGACCGCCUGGGGAGUACGGCCGCAAGGUUGAAACUUAAAUGAAUUGACGGGGUCAUAGCUG